rnacentral:rRNA from 1 species
AUACGUAGGUGACAAGCGUUAUCCGGAUUUACUGGGCGUAAAGGGCGUGUAGGCGGUCUUGCAAGUCAGAAGUGAAAUUCCUGAGCUCAACUCGGGCGCUGCUUCUGAAACUGCAGGACUUGAGUGCUGGAGGGGAUAGCGGAAUUCCUAGUGGAGCGGUAAAAUGCGCAGAUAUUAGGAAGAACACCGGUGGCGAAGGCGGCUAUCUGGACAGUAACGGACGCUGAGGCGCGAAAGCGUGGGGAGCAAACAGGAUUAGAUGCCCUGGUAGUCCACGCCGUAAACGAUGAAUACUAGGUGUAGGGGGUAUCGACUCCCUCUGUGCCGCAGUUAACACAAUAAGUAUUCCGCCUGGGGAGUUCGGCCGCAAGGUUGAAACUCAAAGGAAUUGACGGGG